UGUGCCCAGCCAACUGCGGUUAGACAUAAAGUGAUAUAAAGGUGUAGUGGGUUAAAGUUAAAAGAUUUAGGCUAUAAAAGCUUUGUUGGUAGAUGGUAGUGAAAUUCAAAGUAACCAGUGAAGUUAUAAAAAAUUUUUCUAUAAUUAAAGGCUUUUAAUAUGUGGGCUUAAACUAGGAUUAGAUACCCUAUUAUUCCACCUUUAGAAACCCAACGCUUGAGUAGUAAUCAGUUAUUUGCUUGAAACUUAAAGGAUUUGGCGGUAAUUUAGUCUAGUUAGAGGAACCUGCAGUAUAAACGAUAGUCCACGCAGAAUCUUACCUUAAUUUGUUUUCAGUAUGUAUACCUCCGCUAUUAAAUAACAUUAAAAAAUUAGUAUUGUAAUAAAUUAAUCUAGUAAACCAGGUCAAGGUGCAGCCUAUAUUAAGGUAUAUGUGGGUUACAUUAUAACUAUAAUUCGCAUUCAAGCUCGAACUAGCUCGUUAAAGUUGGAUUUAAUUGUACGGUUCGUUUAAUAAGCGAAACUGAUAAUAGCUCUAAAUUAUGUACAAAUCGCCCGUCGCUCUCAUUAAUUAAAGUGAGAUAAGUCGUA
rnacentral:rRNA from 1 species